rnacentral:rRNA from 1 species
AGCGAACGCUGGCGGCAGGCCUAACACAUGCAAGUCGAACGAACCCUUCGGGGUUAGUGGCGGACGGGUGAGUAACACGCGGGAACGUGCCUUUAGGUUCGGAAUAGCUCAGGGAAACUUGUGCUAAUACCGAAUGUGCCCUUCGGGGGAAAGAUUUAUCGCCUUUAGAGCGGCCCGCGUCUGAUUAGCUAGUUGGUGAGGUAAUGGCUAACCAAGGCUACGAUCAGUAGCUGGUCUGAGAGGAUGGCCAGCCACAUUGGGACUGAGACACGGCCCAAACUCCUACGGGAGGCAGCAGUGGGGAAUCUUGCGCAAUGGGCGAAAGCCUGACGCAGCCAUGCCGCGUGGAUGAUGAAGGUCUUAGGAUUGUAAAAUCCUUUCACCGGUGAAGAUAAUGACUGUAGCCGGAGAAGAAGCCCCGGCUAACUUCGUGCCAGCAGCCGCGGUAAGAC